CUUAUCAAGAGUGGUGGAGGGAACGGCCCGAUGAAACCCAGCAACCUGUUAAUCAAGGUGCUAAAUCCGGCGGCAAACGAAAGAUGAG
rnacentral:ncRNA from 1 species